CAAUAGCGUAUAUUAAAGCUGUUGCGGUUAAAAAGCUCGUAGUUGGAUUUCUGCUGAGAACGACCGGUCCGCCCUCUGGGUGUGUAUCUGGCUCUUUCUUGGCAUCUUCUUGGUGAACGUUGCUGCACUUGACUGUGUGGAGCGCUACCCAGGACUUUUACUUUGAGGAAAUUAGAGUGUUUCAAGCAGGCAUACGCCUUGAAUACAUUAGCAUGGAAUAAUAAGAUAGGACCUCGGUUCUAUUUUGUUGGUUUCUAGAGCUGAGGUAAUGAUUAAUAGGGAUAGUUGGGGGCAUUCGUAUUUAACUGUCAGAGGUGAAAUUCUUGGAUUUGUUAAAGACGGACUACUGCGAAANCANNNGCGAAGGAUGUUUUCAUNGA
rnacentral:rRNA from 1 species